AUUGAACGCUGGCGGCAUGCUUUACACAUGCAAGUCGAACGGCAGCGCGGGCUUCGGCCUGGCGGCGAGUGGCGAACGGGUGAGUAAUGCAUCGGAACGUGCCCAGUAGUGGGGGAUAGCCGGGCGAAAGCCGGAUUAAUACCGCAUACGACCUGAGGGUGAAAGCGGGGGACCGAAAGGCCUCGCGCCAUUGGAGCGGCCGAUGUCGGAUUAGCUAGUUGGUGGGGUAAAGGCGUACCAAGGCGACGAUCCGUAGCUGGUCUGAGAGGACGACCAGCCACACUGGGACUGAGACACGGCCCAGACUCCUACGGGAGGCAGCAGUGGGGAAUUUUGGACAAUGGGGGCAACCCUGAUCCAGCCAUGCCGCGUGCGGGAAGAAGGCCUUCGGGUUGUAAACCGCUUUUGUUCGGGAAGAAAUCCUCUGGGCUAAUACCCCGGGGGGAUGACGGUACCGGAAGAAUAAGCACCGGCUAACUACGUG
rnacentral:rRNA from 1 species